GAAGGUAGUGAGUUACCUCAACUGAUUGUUCGUUACAGAUCAAACCCCUUGUUCAGCUCUUUCCACCCUUCUCACUACUGCACUC
rnacentral:sRNA from 1 species